AACAAUCUCAUUUGAACGGGGCCUACUACGGCCCCUCAAUCCCACCCAAAUCCCAAGCCUACCACCGCCAUGGCCGUGGCAGCGACCCCCUCGGCUGCUGCUGCGGCUGCAUCUUCAGCCUUAUUUUCAAGCUCAUUAUGACCGCCGUCGUCAUAGUGGGCCUGGCCUUUUUCAUCUUCUGGCUCAUAGUCCGCCCCAACCACAUCAAGUUCCACGUCACCGAAGCCCACCUCACCCAAUUCAACUUCUCCAAUGACAGCACCCUCCACUACAACCUCGCCCUCAACCUCACCAUCCGCAACCCCAACAAGAAGAUCGGGGUCUACUACGACCGCAUCGAGGCCAGGGCCAUCUACGAGGACCAGAGGUUCAGCACGUACACCUCGACGACGCCCUUUUACCAAGGGCACAAGACAACGAACGUGGUGAACCCGGUGUUCCAGGGCCAGCAGGUGAUCCCAGACACGAAAGUGCUCUCCGAGUACAAUGAGCAGAAGAAUAGUGGGGUUUACGAGAUCGACGUCAAGCUUUACCUUCGGGUUCGAUUCAAAUUCGGCUUGAUCAAGACCGGCAAGUUCAAGCCCAGGAUUAAAUGUGGGUUGAAGGUUCCUUUGACUCAGAAUGGGAGCUCAUCAGUUAGCACUUUCGAGACUACCAAGUGUGACGUUGAUUACUUCAAAUCAAUCUAAGCUCCACAGCUUACCACUUCAUAUAUCUUCUUGUUGAUCCAGUCUCAGAUUAUUAUUUUUUUACUAUUCUUUUGUUUUUUUGUUUUUGUGUUUGUGUUGA
rnacentral:lncRNA from 1 species